UACGAAGGGGGCUAGCGUUGCUCGGAAUCACUGGGCGUAAAGCGCACGUAGGCGGAUCUUUAAGUCAGGGGUGAAAUCCCAAGGCUCAACCUUGGAACUGCCUUCGAUACUGGCGAUCUUGAGUCCGGAAGAGGUGAGUGGAACUCCUAGUGUAGAGGUGGAAUUCGUAGAUAUUAGGAAGAACACCAGUGGCGAAGGCGGCUCACUGGUCCGGUACUGACGCUGAGGUGCGAAAGCGUGGGAGCAA
rnacentral:rRNA from 1 species